UCUAAAGUUCUAAACGGAUAUGUGACCGAAAAAUAAGUCAACUUUGGUGACAUAGGUAACCAAAUCAAUUCUCUUAAGCCUUUCCAUAUAUUAUAUUCAGGAUAUUACAUUUUUAGUCUUCACUCUGAAAUUGCCGUUGUAGUUUGUGGUUGCGUGGACGCAUUUCUUAUGCUUUCUUGUUUUUUUGUUGUUCAGAUUCUUCUCGGUGUGUGGAAUGGAAUAUCAUAUCAUUUUUCUUUUUAACAAAUAUAUGUAAAUGAGAAGCCACGAACGUGAUCAGUAAAAAAAAGCUUUGGGAAAGAAAACAGGAAAGCCACGAGGUGCGAGUCUCGACUAAUGGCCGCAUCACUUUCGGUGUAUCAUCUUUUUAUUUAGACGUUUCAAUUGUAUGCGAAUUGUUCUUCAACUUUACGACGUUUCAGUUCUGUAUAAUCUGGAAAUGUCAAUCAAGCCGAUGCAGCAGCACCAACAUGCACUAGAGCACUAAAUUCUGACUGGUGCUGCAGCUUGAAACCAAAACGGUGCCUAGGUAGCAAAGUGGAAUGUGACGCAAUUUGUAAACCGAGACGCCGUCUUUGAAUUUUUCAAAAACAAAUUUCUAUAUUAUAUAUUUCAGUUUUAUUCUAAUCUAAAUAAUACAUAGAAAGUUCUCUACGGAAACAACUAGUAUUGUCUGCUAAAAGACGUUGGUAUCUCGUGGAAGAGCUCAAGUUUUUUUCUUUUCUAUUUAUGACCUUUUACAAUUGGAUUCAAGAAAUUCAUAUAUGUUUCGGGAAAACAAGAAUAAAACAAUUAUUGAAUGUUUAUUUUUAUUUUAGUUUAAUGAUGUAAAGACUCAGAUGAUUGAAUAAAAUAAAAAUUAAUUUAAAAGUA